AUUGAACGCUGGCGGCAGGCUUAACACAUGCAAGUCGAGCGGAGUGAUGGUGCUUGCACUAUCACUUAGCGGCGGACGGGUGAGUAAUGCUUAGGAAUCUGCCUAUUAGUGGGGGACAACAUCUCGAAAGGGAUGCUAAUACCGCAUACGUCCUACGGGAGAAAGCAGGGGAUCACUUGUGACCUUGCGCUAAUAGAUGAGCCUAAGUCGGAUUAGCUAGUUGGUGGGGUAAAGGCCUACCAAGGCGACGAUCUGUAGCGGGUCUGAGAGGAUGAUCCGCCACACGGGGACUGAAACACGGCCCAGACUCCUACGGGAGGCAGCAGUGGGGAAUAUUGGACAAUGGGGGGAACCCUGAUCCAGCCAUGCCGCGUGUGUGAAGAAGGCCUUAUGGUUGUAAAGCACUUUAAGCGAGGAGGAGGCUCUUUUGGUUAAUACCCAAGAUGAGUGGACGUUACUCGCAGAAUAAGCACCGGCUAACUCUGUGCCAGCCGCCGCCGUAA
rnacentral:rRNA from 1 species